AAUAAUCACACAUGUCUAUACAUUAGGUAAAAAUUCAAAUUUUCACACCAAAAUUUCCCAUUUAAUUUCUAGCCUCACCAAACAUCAAAUAUCACCCAAAUAUCAUGAAAUAUCAUCAAUUUCAGCCACAAUAUCCUCCCUAGAAAAUUCAGCCAAUGAUGGUGAUGGGGGAAAAUGAAUUCUUUUCUUGUUGUUUUGUUUCUAAAUAUGCUAAACUAACUAAAAACACUAACAUAACUUAAAAUCAAAUCAAUCCAACAUCUUUC
rnacentral:lncRNA from 1 species